CACAGUCUACCUGUGCUACGUACCAUAAUGAAUGGAGCAAGAGGUCCAUUUGUAUCUGAAAUGUGCGCAUUCCAGGUUGACUCCCAACCUCAAGAGUUUACCUUUCUCGUUUCCCACAGUGCUCCUUGUGUCACUGCAGAUGAUGGUCUGCAGCUUCAUCUUGUUUUAGACAACGAUCGGUAUCUUCUCUCCUGCCCAGUCAUUGCUCAGUUUCCCAGUUCCCCCCCUCUACCAAAGUUUUCAUUUGUGUCUCCUGGUGAUCUUCAGUCCUCUUACAGCCCAGAUACCAUCAAACCCAGCUCCUCAUUUUUUCCUUCUCCUAAGACUUCAGACCAGAAGCAAACUGUCCAUCAGCAAAACUAUUCCCCCUACCCUGGCCUCCGGUACCACCAACUGCCGCAAGUCUCUCCUCCUGCCCCACAACCCCCCCAUUCACGUCAGUUCAGCAUUGACAAUUUCCCCAAGUCCCAGUUGUUGGAGGAGUACCCCUCUAGAUCUGGAAAAUUGUCUUUUUCUUUUGAUGGGCACUAUCCUCAUUCUCAUUACUAUUUUCCAAGGAAAGGUCCUUCUCCUCAACUUUUUAAUUCACCUGAUCACCCUUCUAAAUACCCAUAUGGUCUAUAUUAUCCUUACUUGCAAUUUUCUCCGAUUUUCUCAACCCCAGAAGAAAAAGAAAUUCCCAAACCUCGAGCAGGUUCUUUUCCAAAGUACUACCUACAGACAUCUUACCAUUCUAUAACCACAGCAACACCUGUUACCCAAGUUCCAGUUACUGUCCCCACUCCAGUCUUUCCACCAGAACGACCUGAAGGUCUCCCACAUCAAGCCAAACCUCUGUAUCCACUGCUCUCUUACAACCAAAAGCCAGGGUUGUAUCCUGCUCCAGAUCUUUAUGCUCAUCUGCUCUU